AAUAAAGUGGCUGAAAUUUAAGCAAUAAAUUGUAAAUUUAUUUAUGGUUAAUUCCCUUUAUUA
rnacentral:tRNA from 1 species